CCUACGGGAGGCUGCAGUGGGGAAUAUUGCACAAUGGGGGAAACCCUGAUGCAGCGACGCCGCGUGAGUGAAGAAGUAUUUCGGUAUGUAAAGCUCUAUCAGCAGGGAAGAAAAUGACGGUACCUGAGUAAGAAGCCCCGGCCAACGACGUGCCAGCAGCCGCGGUAAUACGUAGGGGGCAAGCGUUAUCCGGAUUUACUGGGUGUAAAGGGAGUGUAGACGGCAGCACAAGUCUGGAGUGAAAUGCCGGGGCUUAACCCCGGAACUGCUUUGGAAACUGUGCAGCUUGAGUGCAGGAGAGGUAAGUGGAAUUCCUAGUGUAGCGGUGAAAUGCGUAGAUAUUAGGAGGAACACCGGUGGCGAAGGCGGCUUACUGGACUGUAACUGACGUUGAGGCUCGAAAGCGUGGGGAGCAAACAGGAUUAGAUACCCGGGUAGUC
rnacentral:rRNA from 1 species